UGGGGGAUAUUGCACAAUGGGCGAAAGCCUGAUGCAGCGACGCCGCGUGGGGGAUGAAGGCCUUCGGGUUGUAAACUUCUUUUGCUCUGAACAAGGCGCACCAUGGGGUGUGUUGAGUGUAGGGGUUGAUUAGCGCCGGCUAACUACGUGCCAGCAGCCGCGGUAAUACGUAGGGCGCGAGCGUUGUCCGGAAUUAUUGGGCGUAAAGGGCUUGUAGGUGGCUGGUUGCGUCUGUCGUGAAAGCUAAUGGCUUAACUGUGGGUUUGCGGUGGGUACGGGCUGGCUUGAGUGCAGUAGGGGAGGCUGGAAUUCCUGGUGUAGCGGUGGAAUGCGCAGAUAUCAGGAGGAAUACCGGUGGCGAAGGCGGGUCUCUGGGCUGUUACUGACACUGAGGAGCGAAAGCAUGGGGAGCGAACAGG
rnacentral:rRNA from 1 species